rnacentral:rRNA from 1 species
UACAGAGGGUGCGAGCGUUAAUCGGAAUUACUGGGCGUAAAGCGCGCGUAGGCGGCUUCGCAAGUCGGGUGUGAAAUCCCUGGGCUCAACCCAGGAACUGCGUCCGAUACUGGAAGGCUUGAAUCCGGGAGAGGGAUGCGGAAUUCCAGGUGUAGCGGUGAAAUGCGUAGAUAUCUGGAGGAACACCGGUGGCGAAGGCGGCAUCCUGGACCAAUUCUGACGCUGAGUGAGCGAAAGCCAGGGGAGCAAACGGG